GAUGAACGCUAGCGGCAGGCCUAAUACAUGCAAGUCGAACGGAGUGGCGCACGGGUGCGUAACGCGUAACCAACUUACCCACAACUGGGGGCUAGCCCGCCGAAAGGCGGAUUAAUACCGCAUAGUUGUGGAUGGGGUUGCGUCCAUUAGCUAGUUGGUGAGGUAACGGCUCACCAAGGCGACGAUGGCUAGGGGAGCUGAGAGGCUGGUCCCCCACACGGGCACUGAGAUACGGGCCCGACUCCUACGGGAGGCAGCAGUAGGGAAUAUUGGGCAAUGGUCGAGAGACUGACCCAGCCAUGCCGCGUGCAGGAGGAAGGCUUCUGAGUCGUAAACUGCUUUUAUCAGGGAAGCGGUACCUGAGGAAUAAGCACCGGCUAACUCCGUGCCAGCAGCCGCGGUAAUAC
rnacentral:rRNA from 1 species